UACGUAGGGUGCGAGCGUUGUCCGGAAUUACUGGGCGUAAAGAGCUCGUAGGUGGUUUGUCGCGUUGUUCGUGAAAACUCACAGCUUAACUGUGGGCGUGCGGGCGAUACGGGCAGACUGGAGUACUGCAGGGGAGACUGGAAUUCCUGGUGUAGCGGUGGAAUGCGCAGAUAUCAGGAGGAACACCGGUGGCGAAGGCGGGUCUCUGGGCAGUAACUGACGCUGAGGAGCGAAAGCGUGGGGAGCGAACAGGA
rnacentral:rRNA from 2 species